CGGAGCCGAGCCACGGCUGCCUCCCUCGCUCUCUCCCUCGAGCGCUCGCCCGCCCCCUCCCUCCCUCCCCUCCCUUCCCCGGCCCCGGCUCCGGCCCCGGCUCCGGCCUCGGCCCGUUCGCUGUUCGGUCUUCUGCAGGGAGAAUGUCGGGCUCGUCGCUCCCCAGCGCCCUGGCCCUCUCGCUGUUGCUGGUCUCUGGCUCCCUCCUCCCAGGGCCAGGCGCCGCUCAGAACGAGCCAAGGAUUGUCACCAGUGAAGAAGUCAUUAUUCGAGAAAGCCCUGCGCCCCCUGUCACCCUGCAGUGUAACCUCACCUCCAACUCUCACACCCUUACAUACAGCUACUGGACAAAGAAUGGGGUAGAACUGACUGCCACUCGUAAGAAUGCCAGCAACAUGGAAUACAGGAUCAAUAAACCGAGAGCUGAGGAUUCAGGCGAAUACCACUGUGUAUAUCACUUUCUCAGUGCUCCUAAAGCAAAUGCCACCAUUGAAGUAAAAGCUGCUCCUGACAUCACUGGCCAUAAACGGAGUGAGAACAAGAAUGAAGGGCAGGAUGCCAUGAUGUACUGCAAGUCAGUUGGCUACCCCCACCCAGAGUGGAUCUGGCGCAAGAAGGAGAACGGUAUGCCCAUGGAGAUUGUCAAUACCUCUGGCCGCUUCAUCAUCAUCAAUAGGGAGAAUUACACUGAGCUGAGCAUCACAAACCUGCAGAUCACAGAAGAUCCUGGCGAGUAUGAAUGUAAUGCUACCAACUCCAUUGGCUCUGCCUCCGUUGUCACCAUCCUCAGGGUACGGAGCCACCUGGCCCCACUCUGGCCCUUCCUGGGAAUUCUGGCGGAAAUCAUCAUCCUUGUGGUGAUCAUUGUUGUGUAUGAAAAGAGGAAGAGGCCAGAUGAAGUUCCUGACGAUCAUCAGGCAGAUUGAGCUUGAGGAGAAUCCAAGUCAAGCCUAGAAGCCACCCCAAGAUCGCAGGCCACCUGGCCUUUCAGGCAGAUUUAAGACGAUGAACCAGCUGGGCCAAUGAAAACCAACUCUACCAACAAUCACAAAGAUAAAAACUUGCGCCAGAGAAACACAAAUUAAGUACUACUUGUAACAUCCUUAGGUUCCUGAAACUGGUGGCAACAUGACCUGCUAAAUUUUCUGCUUGUACCUCUUUGGUUCUUUCCCUUUCAAGUGAGCAGCACCAUGAUGACUGUCUAAAGCAUGCCUUAUUUAGCCUCUCCUGUAAGGGUGACCUAGCCAGGUACAUUUUAAACAAUGCUUCAGUGUAGAAGGUGUAAACUAUUUUGGGCUUGAUGUGCUGUGAAUGUUGCUUUUUUUUUUCCCCCUUUGGUAGAAUAUUUAAAUAGAAGUAAAAAGGUCCUCUGAGGAUCAGAUCAUGCAUGCACCGUUUUUUACUUAAUGCAGCUGUUAAAUUGGCAAAGCUCUAAAAUGCACUGCUGCCAUCUAGUGACACAUUUUUGUAAAGUACAGCAAAACCUACAGAUAUAUACAGUAUAUAAAUAUAUAUAUAUAUUUAUAUUUUUGGGGUGGGAGAAAUCCAAAAUAAAAUAAAUGCUUGUUUCAUUUUUAAGCUGCUGAUACUCAUUCCUUACUGUAUGUUGUCAGAUGAGGAAACUGUUCAGUUCUGGUACAUAAAGAUGAGUAAUAUAAACUGAAAUCUAUAAUUUUAAGGGCUUAACCUAUGACUUUGAUAAGAAGCUGGAACAGUCCACUGAAUGGAUGUAAUGAACUGCAGUAUAUAUGUAUGAUUGCUUUUUAAGUGAUUAUUUUUUCUUUUGUUAAAUCAUGUAAAUUCUUAGAUCCUUUUGCACUGAUGUGUUGAACCUGAUUGUACAUUCAAUUAAGGCAAACUUUUAUAAUUUACCUUUUGUUUUCAAUGACCUUGAAAUGUUACAGCAUGGUAUUCUAUGCAACUAGUUAUACUUUGAGGUUGACACUGUAUUUUUUCAUUGAUUGAGUGUAGAUUUUCACACCCGGCAGGGUUCUCACACGGUGCGUAAUGGUAGAUGCAUGUACUUGUGUUUUGUGUAAUUGUUGAAGUGCAAUGAUGUAUAAAAAAGUGGAUUCACCUGUUUUUAAAAAUAAAACUGAUAAAAGGUGUUGGAAUAAUACUCUUUA